CGCCCACCUGCACCUCCCAGUAGUGCUCGCCGUCGGACAGCACCUGCUGCGCCACCACCGCCACGGCCUUGUCGAACUGGCACGGAUCCUCCCCGGCCGGCGGCGCCUUCUGGUCCGAGCACUCCACGCGGCGACCGGAGGGAGACAGCACCAGGCUCGGGUGCGCAGAGCUCGGGUCAAAGGUCAGCUCCUUUGUAACUGCCAGGAGGGGAAGUGGUCAGGCCCUGCGUGGCUACACCCGUGCAAGCUUCUCCCAACCGAGGGGCCUGCGGGUCUGCUCUAACCACCCCCCCACACACAGCCCUAGGAGGUGAAUCCCUCUCUGCUUACUGGCUUGGCCCAAAGCCUGUACCUCUCCGAGCUUCAGCCGACUCAGCGGGAAAACGAGGCCAUAACUGCCUCCUUCCAAAUGGGGCAGGAACUGACCAAGGAUCACACAAGGCUCAACCCCAGACCCCAGCCUCCCCUGCUUGCCAGCAGCAGCAGCAGCUUUCCUUUCAGGAAGCAGAGUCAUCACCACAUCAGUCACCCACCUGUAAGCCCCAUGCCCUCCAAGGUCCUUCUCUGAGCCCAGAUGACAAGGGUAAAGGGGCAAUGGGCACCUUCUCUGAUAACUUCUGGGACUGAGAGGCUCCAUUACGUCGCUGGGACCUGCCUUCAACCACACAGUUACAAACGUGAACCCAGAGGUGGCCUCUCCCAGUACCUGGCAUCAGAGCCCGGAACAUCUUCCUCCACACCUGGAAUUUGAAGUCAUCUGAGAUGACAGGCAGCUGGAUGUCCAAACGGGCAGGCGGUGGUGAUUCUGCCAGGAUCUUCUGUAGCCUGGGGGCAGGGAGUGGGAAGUGGGAGCUGUCUGUGGAUGGACUUCCUGGAGGAGGCAUAGGGUAGGGGCAGGGCAGGAGGUUACCCCAAAGAGAGGAGGACAGGGGUCAUGGUAGGGUUCCAGGCUCUCUCCUGCAUCACAACCUGGCUUACAACUCUGUUGGAGUUUCAGUUCAGAAAGAUGAAAAUGUUCUGGAGGGAGAUGGCAAUGAUGGUGGCAAACCAGCAUGAAUGUACUUAAUACCAUCGAAUUUAAAAUGUACACUUAAAAAAUGGUUAAAAAGGCAAAUUUUACAUCA